rnacentral:rRNA from 1 species
AUGCCAAGCACAUGCCAAAGGCUGUUCCUUUCCUUCUGUCAGAGCAGAGCCAGCGCCCUUCCCUUCCCUCCCCUUCCCUCGGACUCUUCGACCGGCUUCACCAAAGCAUUCCCUCCCCCAAAAUCACCCAAAGCCCUCUCCGGCCCGCUCUCCUCUUCAGCUGCUACCAAAUCCAUCGCCGCCGCCGCCUCCGCGGAAAUGCUGCUCCCGCUCCGUCGCCUCUCCGGCCACCUCCGCCGCGCCGCCUCCGCCUCCGCGCUGCUCCCGCCCCGUGGCCUGCACGGCCACCUCCGUCGCCCCCUCUCCGCCGCCUCGCCCCCUCCCUGGGCGAUGAUCUACCGCAUAUCGGUCACGCCGAACACCACCCGAGACGCGUCCUUCUGGCUCGCGCCGCCGCCGUCAGCCACUCUCUUCUCCCUCCCCGAGCGGGUGUUCAGCAGCAUGGAGCACCCCCGCGCCGGCGGGUACACCGACAACUACGCCAGCGUCGUCUUCGCCUCGAGCGGCGACGGCCUCCUCCUCCUCAAAGCUACCUGGCAUCGCUUCAGCGCUCACGCCAGCCUGGACAGCCCAAGGCCAAGGGAAGUGCUCGCCAAGGAGGAGCACGUGCUCUACGUGUGCAACCCCGUUACCGGUCAGCUGGUCCGCCUCCCGCCCUCCUGGGGCACGAAGCAUUUGACAACGGCCACGGGGCUCCUCACCCAAGCCGACCGUGGGCGCGGGCCGCCUAAGAGGUACGCCGCCGCCGAGCUCAUCGAGGCGCUCAAGGACGACGUGGUGCACUUCGUGUUGUGUCGGUUCCGCUCCGAGACUGGAAAGUGGGACGUCAAGGAGCGGCUGUCCCCGCUGCCGCCUGGGCGACUGAUGCGCAUGAGGAAUCACGAAGUGCUGGCUUUCGCAGGCCGUCUGUGGUGGGUGGACGUGAGCUGGGGCGCCGUCUCCGCCGACCCGUUCAAGGACGAGCCUCAGCUCGGCCAUGUCAAGCUGCCGGAAGGCAGCGAGCUUCCUGACCAAGACGCCAAUGAGGGGUUAGAGCUUACCAAGCACAGACGCAUGGGGGUCAGCGACGGCAGACUGCUAUAUGUGGAGGUUUCAGAGGAGGAGCCAUUUCAGAUCAAGUCGUUCGUGCUGGAUGGUGAGAGCGGCCCCUGGGCGCUGCAGCACCAGGUGUCUCUUGACACGCUGUGGCCCAAUGGUGGGGAUGGUACCAAGGAGAGGCCUUUGGUUGUGGCCAUUGAUCCCCUCAACACUGACCUGCUGUACCUCAACAUGGGCAGUGAAGAAAUUGUUAGCGUCGACUUGCGCAGGAACAGGGUCAUUGGUGCGUAUUCUGUGUUGAGCAGUGACAUUCCUACAAGAUGCCGCUUGGCAAAUAUCUUCCUGCCAUGCGUGCUUCCUUCAUUCCUCGGAUCAAGCCUGAUUCCAGGCAAGCGGAAAACUAUAGCGGAUACUCUGGUUCGUGUAGACAGUUGCAAGAAAUGA